AAAAAAUUAGAAGGAACAUUGCUUACUUCAGAAGAAACAAAGGCUGACGUAAAAAAAUUAUAUUUGCAUACAUUCACAAAAACAUGGAAGAAAAGGAAAACUGGAAUAUAAUUUACAAGCUAGGAAUUAUAGAAAAUUGAUAAGGAAAGCCAAGAUGUGCAAGGAGAAAUCUGACCAGCAUAGUUAUGGACAAUAUGUGUUUAUACACCUUAGGAGCAAAACCAAUCCAAACAAUGGUAUUGGUCAAUUAUUAAAUGGAGAUGUUAGAAAUCUCAGGAAUAAUGCAGAAAAAGCAGAAGUGUUCAAUAAUUUCUGUUCUCUAGUUAGGUGGUGAUAACACUUUCUGAUCCACUAGUACCUGUAAAGGAUGUUAAACAGAAAUUACUAAUGGCUUUUAAAAUCAGCAAGUCCAGAUAAACCUGCGUCCAAGUGUUUCAAAAAAAGCUGGCUUACAAACUUGCUGGUCUUUUAAUGCUAAUUUUCAAUAAUCCUUGGAAUACUUGGGAAAUUCCAGAAGGCUGGAAGAAAGCGAAUGUGUCAAUUUAAAAAAAAGGGAAGGCAGGAUGAAACAGGUAUUGUUCUAACACAACCCACCCCUCCUUGGAGGAGACCUUAAGCUCCCCUGAAGGAAGGAAAAGCAUGUGGAGAGAGAGAGGAUGAGAUGAUGAGAGGAGAACACCAUGUGUCAGAGGAAAUUAAAUCUGUCUGCAAAGAAUGGAGGACUGUCAGGUGGAGUGCAGGGGGGAAAUGUAUGAAAUCUGCCCUUUUGUUCUUUUCUGCAAUCCUAAUAGAAGUUCAGCUUCAGAGGAAAAGGUUUGGUGCUAAUUGUCCAUGGCCUUCGUGUGAAAAUUGUGAGAAUUAAAGCUGAGAAAUGAAACAAGUUUGUAGGAGACCUCCCCAUUGCUUAAAAAGAUUGAGGAAUUUUUCCUCCCUUCAUUCCAGCUGAUUUUGUUUUUUUUAACAUGAUUAUGUUUCCAAGAAGUGGUGGAGGAAUACUAUUAAUUUUUUUAAAAAACCUAAAAACUUCCAUAGACUUUGCUUUAUGCCAAAGGCUACAAGAAAUAUGUGUUUGAAGUGCAUUCACUGUGCAGCACUUUGGUCAGCACAAAGCCAAUAACUUGAACUUGUUUUUGGUGGCUUCCUUCAUAUAAAUGACUCAUUACUUGAAUUAUCUUGGCCCUUUUUAUAGUGUGGUGUAAUCUGAUCUUUUAAGCUAUUCUUGGGAUUGGUGGUGUGAGGUGCUAAGAGCCCUUGAAGUAAGUAAAAGCUGAUGGCACUCAAUAUCAUAUAGGAGGUGCUUAGUAUUUUGUAGGGUUGGGCCCAUAAUUUAGGCAAAAAGCAAAUUGAC